CCCCCGCGCCCCCGCCCCCGCGCUGCGGAGAAUGGGCACCUCGGGCCGCGGGGCGCAGCCGGAGAAUAAACCCCAAUGAUCACGGGCUGAGUCCGCACCACCACCAUGUCCGUGGCCUUCGCGUCGGCGCGGCCGAGAGGCAAAGGGGAGGUCACUCAGCAGACCAUCCAGAAGGUGGGCAAGGCCGAGGGGGUACAGAGUGCGGGUGGGCGCGGGACAGGAACAAAGCCGGGGCACAGCCCGCUGCACGGAGCCCUGACGGCGGCUCCGCGCGCCCCCUGGAAAGCCUGCGCCAACUUUGCCGGAGGCAUUGGCAGCGGGGGCCAGGCGGCCG
rnacentral:lncRNA from 1 species